rnacentral:rRNA from 1 species
CCUACGGGGGGCAGCAGUGGGGAAUAUUGCACAAUGGGGGAAACCCUGAUGCAGCGACGCCGCGUGAGCGAUGAAGUAUUUCGGUAUGUAAAGCUCUAUCAGCAGGGAAGAAGAUGACGGUACCUGACUAAGAAGCCCCGGCUAACUACGUGCCAGCAGCCGGGGGAAUACGUAGGGGGCAAACGUUAUCCGGAUUUACUGGGUGUAAAGGGAGCGUAGACGGCGAUGCAAGCCAGAUGGGAAAGCCCGGGGCUCAACCCCGGGACUGCAUUUGGAACUGUGGGGCUGGAGUGUGGGAGAGGCAGGCGGAAUUCCUAGUGUAGCGGUGAAAUGCGUAGAUAUUAGGAAGAACACCAGGGGCGAAGGCGGCCUGCUGGACGAUGACUGACGUUGAGGCUCGAAAGCGUGGGGAGCAAACAGGAUUAGAUACCCCUGUAGUC